GACGAACGCUGGCGGCGUGCCUAAUACAUGCAAGUAGAACGCACAGUUUAUACCGUAGCUUGCUACACCAUAGACUGUGAGUUGCGAACGGGUGAGUAACGCGUAGGUAACCUGCCUGGUAGCGGGGGAUAACUAUUGGAAACGAUAGCUAAUACCGCAUAAUAUUGAUUAUUGCAUGAUAAUUGAUUGAAAGAUGCUAUUGCAUCACUACCAGAUGGACCUGCGUUGUAUUAGCUAGUAGGUGAGGUAACGGCUCACCUAGGCGACGAUACAUAGCCGACCUGAGAGGGUGAGCGGCCACACUGGGACUGAGACACGGCCCAGACUCCUACGGGAGGCAGCAGUAGGGAAUCUUCGGCAAUGGACGAAAGUCUGACCGAGCAACGCCGCGUGAGUGAAGAAGGUUUUCGGAUCGUAAAGCUCUGUUGUAAGAGAAGAACGGGUGUGAGAGUGGAAAGUUCACACUGUGACGGUAUCUUACCAGAAAGGGACGGCUAACUACGUG
rnacentral:rRNA from 1 species